rnacentral:rRNA from 1 species
UACGGAGGGUGCAAACGUUGCUCGGAAUCAUUGGGCGUAAAGCGCACGUAGGUGGCCUGUUAAGUCGGGUGUGAAAGCCCUGGGCUCAACCCAGGAAGUGCACUCGAAACUGGCAGGCUUGAGUACUGAAGAGGGUCGCGGAAUUCCCGGUGUAGCGGUGAAAUGCGCAGAUAUUGGGAGGAACACCAGUGGCGAAGGCGGCACUCUGGGCCAGUACUGACACUGAGGAGCGAAAGCGUGGGUAGCGAACAGG